rnacentral:piRNA from 1 species
GGCCGUACUAGAGCUCAUUUUGCAGACC